rnacentral:rRNA from 1 species
UACGUAGGGUGCAAGCGUUAAUCGGAAUUACUGGGCGUAAAGCGUGCGCAGGCGGUUGUGCAAGACAGAUGUGAAAUCCCCGGGCUCAACCUGGGAAUUGCAUUUGUGACUGCACGGCUAGAGUGUGUCAGGGGGGGUAGAAUUCCACGUGUAGCAGUGAAAUGCGUAGAGAUGUGGAGGAAUACCGAUGGCGAAGGCAGCCCCCUGGGAUAACACUGACGCUCAUGCACGAAAGCGUGGGGAGCAAACAGG